GACGAACGCUGGCGGCGCGCCUAACACAUGCAAGUCGAACGAGCGAUAGAGAGCUUGCUUUCUCGAGCGAGUGGCGAACGGGUGAGUAACGCGUGAGGAACCUGCCUCAAAGAGGGGGACAACAGUUGGAAACGACUGCUAAUACCGCAUAAGCCCACGGCUCGGCAUCGAGCAGGGGGAAAAGGAGCAAUCCGCGUUGAGAUGGCCUCGCGUCCGAUUAGCUAGUUGGUGAGGUAACGGCCCACCAAGGCAACGAUCGGUAGCCGGACUGAGAGGUUGAACGGCCACAUUGGGACUGAGACACGGCCCAGACUCCUACGGGAGGCAGCAGUGGGGAAUAUUGCACAAUGGGGGAAACCCUGAUGCAGCGACGCCGCGUGGAGGAAGAAGGUCUUCGGAUUGUAAACUCCUGUUGUUGGGGAAGAUAAUGACGGUACCCAACAAGGAAGUGACGGCUAACUACGUG
rnacentral:rRNA from 1 species